UACGGAGGGUGCAAGCGUUACUCGGAAUCACUGGGCGUAAAGCGCGCGCAGGCGGCCUUUUAAGUUGGAUGUGAAAGCCUACGGCUCAACCGUAGAACUGCAUCCAAAACUACUAGGCUAGAGUCUGGGAGGGGAAGAUGGAAUUAGUUGUGUAGGGGUAAAAUCCGUAGAGAUAACUAGGAAUACCAAAAGCGAAGGCAAUCUUCUGGAACAGUACUGACGCUGAGGCGCGAAAGCGUGGGGAGCAAACAGGAUUAGAUACCCUGGUAGUCCACGCCCUAAACGAUGAAUGUUAGUCGUCGGGUAGCUAGUCUAUUCGGUGAUGCAGUUAACACAUUAAACAUUCCGCCUGGGGAGUACGGUCGCAAGAUUAAAACUCAAAGGAAUAGACGGGGACCCGCACAAGUGGUGGAGCAUGUGGUUUAAUUCGAAGAUACGCGAAGAACCUUACCUAGCCUUGACAUAUUUUAGAACACUUUAGAGAUAGAGUGGUGCCUUCGGGAGCUAAUAUACAGGUGCUGCACGGCUGUCGUCAGCUCGUGUCGUGAGAUGUUGGGUUAAGUCCCGCAACGAGCGCAACCCUCGUCACUAGUUACUAACGGUUCGGCCGAGGACUCUAGUGAGACUGCCUUCGCAAGGAGGAGGAAGGUGAGGACGACGUCAAGUCAUCAUGGCCCUUACGGCUAGGGCAACACACGUGCUACAAUGGCCAGGACAAUGAGAAGCAAUACCGCGAGGUGGAGCAAAUCUAUAAACCUGGUCUCAGUUCGGAUUGUUCUCUGCAACUCGAGAGCAUGAAGCUGGAAUCACUAGUAAUCGUAGAUCAGCUAUGCUACGGUGAAUACGUUCCCGGGUCU
rnacentral:rRNA from 1 species